AUUGAACGCUGGCGGCAUGCCUUACACAUGCAAGUCGAACGGUAACAGGUCUUCGGAUGCUGACGAGUGGCGAACGGGUGAGUAAUACAUCGGAACGUGCCUAGUAGUGGGGGAUAACUACUCGAAAGAGUGGCUAAUACCGCAUGAGAUCUACGGAUGAAAGCAGGGGAUCGCAAGACCUUGUGCUACUAGAGCGGCCGAUGGCAGAUUAGGUAGUUGGUGGGAUAAAAGCUUACCAAGCCGACGAUCUGUAGCUGGUCUGAGAGGACGAUAAGCCACACUGGGACUGAGACACGGCCCAGACUCCUACGGGAGGCAGCAGUGGGGAAUUUUGGACAAUGGGCGAAAGCCUGAUCCAGCAAUGCCGCGUGCAGGAUAAAGGCCUUCGGGUUGUAAACUGCUUUUGUACGGAACGAAAAGCCCCGGGUUAAUACCCUGGGGUCAUGACGGUACCGUAAGAAUAAGCACCGGCUAACUACGUGCCAGCCGCCGCUGUAA
rnacentral:rRNA from 1 species